UGGGGAAUUUUGGACAAUGGGCGAAAGCCUGAUCCAGANGACUGCCGUGUGUGAAGAAGGCCUUCGGGUUGUAAAGCACUUUUGUCCGGAAAGAAAUCCUUGGCUCUAAUACAGUCGGGGGAUGACGGUACCGGAAGAAUAAGCACCGGCUAACUACGUGCCAGCAGCCGCGGUAAUACGUAGGGUGCAAGCGUUAAUCGGAAUUACUGGGCGUAAAGCGUGCGCAGGCGGUUUGCUAAGACCGAUGUGAAAUCCCCGGGCUCAACCUGGGAACUGCAUUGGUGACUGGCAGGCUAGAGUAUGGCAGAGGGGGGUAGAAUUCCACGUGUAGCAGUGAAAUGCGUAGAGAUGUGGAGGAAUACCGAUGGCGAAGGCAGCCCCCUGGGCCAAUACUGACGCUCAUGCACGAAAGCGUGGGGAGCAAACAGGAUUAGAUACCCUGGUAGUCCACGCCCUAAACGAUGUCAACUAGUUGUUGGGGAUUCAUUUCCUUAGUAACGUAGCUAACGCGUGAAGUUGACCGCCUGGGGAGUACGGUCGCAAGAUUAAAACUCAAAUGAAUUGACGGGGUCAUAGCUGUUUCCU
rnacentral:rRNA from 1 species